rnacentral:lncRNA from 1 species
CUGGCAGCCUGUCAUCUGUGGACCAGCUGGGGAUUCAGGCCUCUCUCAGGUAUGGGGGAUAUCUGAAGUUAUUGAGCAAUGAAUUCGAGCAGGACCUUUGUCUUUUGGUGAAGCUUUGCCAAGAGCUCCUCUCUCAACAGUAGGGGCUAAACUCACAUCGGAGCUUUACACUCUGCAGGGAGCCUAACCCUGCCACGACUGGUUUGACUCAUGGCUGGAGA